CUGAAGGAGGAUCUUUACAACUCUAGAAUCACAGAUAGAAAAACACUAAAGCUUAGAGGUUUUAAUCUGUAUGGUGGAGUUGCUCUCUGUAAUCGGUAAUCAGCCAUUCUUCAUCAAUGAAGCUUCUGCCCUUGCUGGCGUUUUUCAGCCGUGGAUGUAGGCUCCAUUGGAACCGAACCACGUUAUUUUCUUGAGUGUGACAUUUCUUGUUUCUCUUUUUCUCUCUUUCUUUCUUCUUUUGCUCUCAUAAUUGUUGGUUCUGAGUUCGUGUGUUGAUCAUUCUUUCUUGGGGUGUUGGAUAUAUUGCAAACCAUACUGCCCUGUUUGCAUAACAAUCCUUAUUUUAUCAGUUUUCAGAUUUGUUUUGACUUCCUAAAGUAUGGUUUACUUAAUUAUGUAUUUUUGAAAAUGUGAUUAAUACGAAUUUGAAUGAGAC
rnacentral:lncRNA from 1 species